AGAAGACCUCCCGUAUCUAAGGCUGAAGCAAACGCAGAUUGUAAAAAAGCGGGAUGACGUUGAUACCGUCACCCCGC
rnacentral:sRNA from 3 species